UACGAAGGGGGCUAGCGUUGUCCGGAUUUACUGGGCGUAAAGAGCGCGCAGGCGGUCGUUCAAGUCGAGUGUGAAAGCCCCCGGCUCAACUGGGGAGGGUCAUUCGAUACUGAUCGACUCGAAGGCAGGAGAGGGAAGCGGAAUUCCCGGUGUAGUGGUGAAAUGCGUAGAUAUCGGGAGGAACACCAGUGGCGAAGGCGGCUUCCUGGCCUGUUCUUGACGCUGAGGCGCGAAAGCUAGGGGAGCAAACGGG
rnacentral:rRNA from 1 species